rnacentral:rRNA from 1 species
GGCGUGCUUAACACAUGCAAGUCGAACGAUGAACCACUUCGGUGGGGAUUAGUGGCGAACGGGUGAGUAACACGUGGGCAAUCUGCCCUGCACUCUGGGACAAGCCCUGGAAACGGGGUCUAAUACCGGAUACUGAUCGCCUUGGGCAUCCUUGGUGAUCGAAAGCUCCGGCGGUGCAGGAUGAGCCCGCGGCCUAUCAGCUUGUUGGUGAGGUAAUGGCUCACCAAGGCGACGACGGGUAGCCGGCCUGAGAGGGCGACCGGCCACACUGGGACUGAGACACGGCCCAGACUCCUACGGGAGGCAGCAGUGGGGAAUAUUGCACAAUGGGCGCAAGCCUGAUGCAGCGACGCCGCGUGAGGGAUGACGGCCUUCGGGUUGUAAACCUCUUUCAGCAGGGAAGAAGCGCAAGUGACGGUACCUGCAGAAGAAGCGCCGGCUAACUACGUGCCAGCAGCCGCGGUAAUACGUAGGGCGCAAGCGUUGUCCGGAAUUAUUGGGCGUAAAGAGCUCGUAGGCGGCUUGUCGCGUCGGUUGUGAAAGCCCGGGGCUUAACCCCGGGUCUGCAGUCGAUACGGGCAGGCUAGAGUUCGGUAGGGGAGAUCGGAAUUCCUGGUGUAGCGGUGAAAUGCGCAGAUAUCAGGAGGAACACC